CUUCUGCAGGACCUGGGAGACACCCCAAAUACUAGCAUUUUAUCAAGGGCCUGCCAGAAUACCACGUGGUGGGUCCAGUCCGAGUAGAUGCCAGUGGGCAUUUUUUGUCAUAUGGCUUGCACUAUCCCAUCACGAGCAGCAGGAGGAAGAGAGAUUUGGAUGGCUCAGAGGACUGGGUGUACUACAGAAUUUCUCACGAGGAGAAGGACCUGUUUUUUAACUUGACGGUCAAUCAAGGAUUUCUUUCCAAUAGCUACAUCAUGGAGAAGAGAUAUGGGAACCUCUCCCAUGUUAAGAUGAUGGCUUCCUCUGCCCCCCUCUGCCAUCUCAGUGGCACGGUUCUACAGCAGGGCACCAGAGUUGGGACGGCAGCCCUCAGUGCCUGCCAUGGACUGACUGGAUUUUUCCAACUACCACAUGGAGACUUUUUCAUUGAACCCGUGAAGAAGCAUCCACUGGUUGAGGGAGGGUACCACCCGCACAUCGUUUACAGGAGGCAGAAAGUUCCAGAAACCAAGGAGCCAACCUGUGGAUUAAAGGGUAUUGUGACUCACAUGUCCUCCUGGGUUGAAGAAUCUGUUUUGUUCUUUUGGUUGUUUUAUUAAAACAUGACCUAUUCUUACUCAAGUCUCUUAUCUCCUCUGUAUUCUUUUUUUUUUAAUAUCUUCAUGACAUUCAAAUCUCUUCUGUAUUCUCUUGCCAGAAAGUGUACAUUCUUUUUGCUUGUAUAAACCCUUUCACUUGUCAAUACUCGAGUCUCUGCAUAUUCUUAAUGAGAAGGAAAUAAAAGCAUCUUUGCCACAUUAAUUGAU
rnacentral:lncRNA from 10 species